AGAGUGAACGCUGGCGGCAGGCCUAACACAUGCAAGUCGAACGGCAGCACAGCAGAGCUUGCUCUGUGGGUGGCGAGUGGCGGACGGGUGAGGAUAACGUCGGAAUCUGCCUAUUUGUGGGGGAUAACGUAGGGAAACUUACGCUAA
rnacentral:rRNA from 1 species